AAACUCAUUAUGUUGCAGUCUUUUUCAGUUGAUAAAAUUGCAAUUCAAAAACUUUUAGAUUUGCACUGUAUGGAUGGCACAGGAAGAGAAACAAGAGUACAAGAACAUGAAACAUCCUAUUAUAAAUGUAUAUGUAUGUGAUCCUCAAAAAAUUAUUUUACAAAACAAGAUAGAGAAAGAGCUUUAAAAUCCCAAGGAUCCUGCAAAAUGUUUAUUUGGUGUACUAGUCGAAUAAUAGUAUCUAAAAAUAUUGACACUAUUUUAUGGGCAUGAGGAUGAUAUAGAGCACUUACAUAAAUACCAAAAUCAGAUAAAUAUCUCUUCAAAGUUUAUUUUGAGACUUUCUUCAAAAAUUAAACUUCAGACUGUACAGGAUAGCAUAAUAGCAUAGGAGGCGAAUUAAAAAGAAUUGAUUUACUUACAAGAAAAGAUAUCACAAACAUUAAACUCUCUUAUGGCAUUGAUUUGAAAGAUGGGUAUAUGUACAAUGAUGAUGCAACCAGUGUUUAUUUUUGGGUUGAAUGCUUACAGACUCAUGUCCAAUAUUAUUUUACAAACAACAGGGCAUACUAAUGGAUAUUCAUUAUGAAUUUAACAUUUAUGAUUUUUGUCUUAUGUU